AGCGAACGCUGGCGGCAGGCUUAACACAUGCAAGUCGAACGGGCACUUCGGUGCUAGUGGCAGACGGGUGAGUAACGCGUGGGAACGUGCCUUUCGGUUCGGAAUAAUCCAGGGAAGCUUGGACUAAUACCGGAUACGCCCUUCGGGGGAAAGAUUUAUCGCCGAAAGAUCGGCCCGCGUCUGAUUAGCUAGUUGGUGAGGUAAAGGCUCACCAAGGCGACGAUCAGUAGCUGGUCUGAGAGGAUGAUCAGCCACAUUGGGACUGAGACACGGCCCAAACUCCUACGGGAGGCAGCAGUGGGGAAUAUUGGACAAUGGGCGCAAGCCUGAUCCAGCCAUGCCGCGUGAGUGAUGAAGGCCUUAGGGCUGUAAAGCUCUUUUGUCCGGGAAGAUAAUGACUGUACCGGAAGAAUAAGCCCCGGCUAACUUCGUGCCAGCCGCCGCAGUAA
rnacentral:rRNA from 1 species